rnacentral:rRNA from 1 species
GACGAACGCUGGCGGCGUGCUUAACACAUGCAAGUCGAACGGAAGGGCCCUGCUUUUGUGGGGUGCUCGAGUGGCGAACGGGUGAGUAACACGUGAGUAACCUGCCCUUGACUUUGGGAUAACUUCAGGAAACUGGGGCUAAUACCGGAUAGGAGCUCCUGCUGCAUGGUGGGGGUUGGAAAGUUUCGGCGGUUGGGGAUGGACUCGCGGCUUAUCAGCUUGUUGGUGGGGUAGUGGCUUACCAAGGCUUUGACGGGUAGCCGGCCCGAGAGGGUGACCGGCCACAUUGGGACUGAGAUACGGCCCAGACUCCUACGGGAGGCAGCAGUGGGGAAUAUUGCACAAUGGGCGGAAGCCUGAUGCAGCAACGCCGCGUGCGGGAUGACGGCCUUCGGGUUGUAAACCGCUUUCGCCUGUGACGAAGCGUGAGUGACGGUAAUGGGUAAAGAAGCACCGGCUAACUACGCG